UCUCGAUUAGUCUAGUGGUGAAGAUACCUGCUUGUCAAUGUCUGUGAGGUGUUCAGCCCCGACCUCUGACGACACUGAAAGUCUUUCAUGUUUGGGCUGAGCACCACACAAGCCCGCAGGUGGCCGGGGUUCGAUUCCCCGAUCGAGAG